rnacentral:rRNA from 1 species
AACGAACGCUGGCGGCAUGCCUAACACAUGCAAGUCGAACGAGACCUUCGGGUCUAGUGGCGCACGGGUGCGUAACGCGUGGGAAUCUGCCCUGGGGUACGGAAUAACAGUGAGAAAUUACUGCUAAUACCGUAUGAUGACGUAAGUCCAAAGAUUUAUCGCCCUGGGAUGAGCCCGGGUAGGAUUAGCUUGUUGGUGAGGUAAAAGCUCACCAAGGCGACGAUCCUUAGCUGGUCUGAGAGGAUGAUCAGCCACACUGGGACUGAGACACGGCCCAGACUCCUACGGGAGGCAGCAGUGGGGAAUAUUGGACAAUGGGCGAAAGCCUGAUCCAGCAAUGCCGCGUGAGUGAUGAAGGCCUUAGGGUUGUAAAGCUCUUUUACCCGGGAAGAUAAUGACUGUACCGGGAGAAUAAGCCCCGGCUAACUCCGUGCCAGCAGCCGCGGUAAU